rnacentral:pre_miRNA from 1 species
GUAGUAUUCCCUCCGCCCCAAAAUUCUUGUCUUACAUUUGUUUAGGUACGGAUGUAUCUAACACUAAAAUAUAACUAGAUACAUCCGUAUUUAGACAAAUUUAAGACAAGAAUUUUGGGACAGAGGGAGUACAAA